GUCUAUGGCCAUGCCACCCUGAACAAGCCCAAUCCCAUCUGAUCUCGGAAGCUAAGCAGGGUCGAGCCUGGUUAGUACCUGGAUGGGAGACCACCUAGGAAGACCAGGUGUUGUAGGCA
rnacentral:rRNA from 1 species